rnacentral:rRNA from 1 species
UGCCAGACUCCUACGGGAGGCAGCAGUGAGGAAUAUUGGUCAAUGGGCGGAAGCCUGAACCAGCCAAGUCGCGUGAGGGAAGAAGGCCCUGCGGGUCGCAGACCUCUUUGGACGGGGAGCAAGGCCGCCGACGUGUCGGCGGAAGGAGAGUACCCGUAGAACAAGCAUCGGCUAACUCCGUGCCAGCAGCCGCGGUAAUACGGAGGAUGCGAGCGUUAUCCGGAUUUACUGGGUGUAAAGGGAGCGUAGACGGCUGUGCAAGUCUGAAGUGAAAGCCCGUGGCUCAACCGCGGAACUGCUUUGGAAACUGUAUAGCUUGAGUACUGGAGAGGCAGGCGGAAUUCCUAGUGUAGCGGUGAAAUGCGUAGAUAUUAGGAGGAACACCAGUGGCGAAGGCGGCCUGCUGGACAGAAACUGACGUUGAGGCUCGAAAGCGUGGGGAGCAAACAGGAUUAGAUACCCGCGUAUA